ensembl:snRNA U6 U6 spliceosomal RNA
GUGCUUGCUUCAGUAGCACAUAGACUAAAAUUGGAGUGAACAGAGAAGAUUAGCAUAGCCCCUCUGCAAGUAUGACAUGCAAAUUUGUGAAGUAUUCAAUUUUUUA